GACGAACGCUGGCGGCGUGCUUAACACAUGCAAGUCGAACGGAAAGGCCCUGCUUUUGUGGGGUGCUCGAGUGGCGAACGGGUGAGUAACACGUGAGUAACCUGCCCUUGACUUUGGGGUAACUUCAGGAAACUGGGGCUAAUAUCGGAUAGCAGCUCCUGCUGCAUGGUGGGGGUUGGAAAGUUUCGGCUGUUGGGGAUGGACUCGCGGCUUAUCAGCUUGUUGGUUGGGUAGUGGCUUACCAAGGCGAUGACCGGUAGCCGGCCUGAGAGGGUGAUCGGCCAAACUGGAACGAGGACACGGUCCAGACUCCUACGGGAGGCAGCAGUGGGGAAUGUUGGACAAUGGGCGCAAGCCUGAUCCAGCCAUACCGCGUGGGUGAAGAAGGCCUUCGGGUUGUAAAGCCCUUUUGUUGGGAAAGAAAAGCAGCAGGUUAAUACCCCGCUGUUCUGACGGUACCCAAAGAAUAAGCACCGGCUAACUUCGUG
rnacentral:rRNA from 1 species